GCCUCCGUAGCUCAGUUGGUAGAGCAGCUGUCUUGUAAACAGCAGGUCACAGGUUCGAGUCCUGCCGGGGGCUCCA
rnacentral:tRNA from 2 species